rnacentral:tRNA from 1 species
GGCUCGGUAGCUUAGUUGGUUUAGCGCUCGUCUAGCAUACAAGAGUCCUGGGUUCAAAUCCCAGCCGAGCAC